UCCCCGUUAUCCGGGGCGGUUUCGCUAGAGUGCCCUUGCGUAGCAACUAGGGACAAGGGUUGCGCUCGUUGCGGGACUUAACCCAACAUCUUACGACACGAGCUGACGACAGCCAUGCAGCACCUGUGUUCCGGUUCCCUUUCGGGCACAGCCACCUUUCAGCAGCCUUCCAGACAUGUCAAGGGUAGGUAAGGUUGUUCGCGUUGCAUCGAAUUAAUCCACAUCAUCCACCGCUUGUGCGGGUCCCCGUCAAUUCCUUUGAGUUUUAACCUUGCGGCCGUACUCCCCAGGCGGAUGACUUAACGCGUUAGCUGCGCCACCGAAACGCCAAGCGCCCCGACAGCUAGUCAUCAUCGUUUACGGCGUGGACUAC
rnacentral:misc_RNA from 1 species